UAGCGAAGGGGGCUAGCGUUGCUCGGAAUUACUGGGCGUAAAGGGCGCGUAGGCGGACAGUUAAGUCAGAGGUGAAAGCCCAGGGCUCAACCCUGGAAUUGCCUUUGAUACUGGCUGUCUUGAGUAUGGGAGAGGUGAGUGGAAUUCCCGGUGUAGCGGUGGAAUGCGUAGAUAUCGGGAAGAACACCGGUGGCGAAGGCGGCUUGCUGGGCCGUAGCUGACGCUGGAGGCGCGAAAGCGUGGGGAGCAAACAGG
rnacentral:rRNA from 1 species